rnacentral:rRNA from 1 species
AACGUGCCCAAUCGUGGGGGAUAACGCAGCGAAAGCUGUGCUAAUACCGCAUACGAUCUACGGAUGAAAUCAGGCGAUCGCAAGACCUUGCGCGAAUGGAGCGGCCGAUGGCAGAUUAGGUAGUUGGUGAUGUAAGAGGCUCACCAAGCCUUCGAUCAUGUAGCUGGUCUGAGAGGCACGUCCAUGCCACACUGGGAACUGAGACACGGCCCAGACUCCUACGGGAGGCAGCAGUGGGGAAUUUUGGACAAUGGGCGAAAGCCUGAUCCAGCCAUGCCGCGUGCAGGAUGAAGGCCUUCGGGUUGUAAACUGCUUUUGUCCGGAACGAAACGGCCUUUUCUAAUAAAGAGGGCUAAUGACGGUACCGUAAGAAUAAGCACCGGCUAACUACGUGCCAGCAGCCGCGGUAAUACGUAGGGUGCAAGCGUUAAUCGGAAUUACUGGGCGUAAAAGCGUGCGCAGGCGGUAAUGUAAGACAGUUGUGAAAUCCCCGGGCUCAACCUGGGAACUGCAUCUGUGACUGCAUUGCUGGAGUACGGCAGAGGGGGAUGGAAUUCCGCGUGUAGCAGUGAAGUGCGUAGAUAUG